CCCUCAAGAUAAAAAGUUCAUGCUGAAAUGGUUUUCUUUGCAUUAUACCUUCUAGAAUGCACCUGAUAAUGGCACCCUGUACAUCUAUUAUAAAUCUGUUAAGAUUCCCCCAUCUACCCUUGCUCUUAGCCUUAAGUUCCUUGAAGGCAGGGGGCCUGCCUUUGGCUUGGUGGUCUCAAUUCCUGCCAUGUGCUGUACCUUAGUAACUCAGUAAAUGUUAGUCUAAUGUCUAAGAUCAGGGCUUUGGGGUUCUCAUUAAAAGAAGGCAGCAUUGUUCAUUGAGGGCAUAAGAGCUAGUGAA
rnacentral:lncRNA from 1 species